AUGGUGAUAGGGUACCACAACUCAUCAGGAGGAGUCCCCUGCCGGCACCUGUCGUCCGCCCGCGCCGGGCUCCGAGACGAACAGACGCUGGCGGCGCGGUAUGCGCCCAGGGUCCAACGUCUUCAGCCACACCUGGAAGCGCAACAUGUCAUGCCGGCGCGCCGUGCGCUCUGCGACCUGGACUACGCGCCCACACCCGCAUGGAAUCACCUCUGCCGUUCUCCUUGUCUAGGCAUGGGCAGGAACGCCGACCAGCUCCAGGGGCACCAUAAAAGGCAGGAAGGCACCUGUUGCUUGAGCCCGACGCAUCCACGGCCGAAGGCCAAGGUGAAAGCCAUUGCCGGGGGCGAAUCCACGUUCCACCAUGAGUUGCCGGAUGAGAGGGUGCUCGCAUAUCAUAAGGAAGUCCUCUAG
rnacentral:rRNA from 1 species